GAUGAACGCUGGCGGCGUGCUUAACACAUGCAAGUCGAACGAGAAGUGGAGACGGAAACCUUCGGGCGGAAGACUUUAUUUCGAGUGGCGGACGGGUGAGUAACGCGUGGGUAACCUGCCUCAUACAGGGGGAUAACAGUUGGAAACGACUGUUAAUACCGCAUAAGACCACAGCACCGCAUGGUGCGGGGGUAAAAACUCCGGUGGUAUGAGAUGGACCCGCGUUCGAUUAGCCAGUUGGCGGGGUAACGGCCCACCAAAGCGACGAUCGAUAGCCGAUCUGAGAGGAUGACCGGCCACAUUGGGACUGAGACACGGCCCAAACUCCUACGGGAGGCAGCAGUGGGGAAUAUUGCACAAUGGGGGAAACCCUGAUGCAGCGACGCCGCGUGAGUGAAGAAGUAUUUCGGUAUGUAAAGCUAUAUCAGCAGGGAAGAAAAUGACGGUACCUGAGUAAGAAGCCCCGGCUAACUACGUG
rnacentral:rRNA from 1 species